CUGGGGGUGUGGUCCUUAUUUAUCCUUGACUUUAGAUAUGGACCGUCCAUGUGAUUUGUUGGCUAUAGGUACAUUAAUCCUGCAAGAAGUACUGUGUUCUACAUAAUGUUGCAACUCUCUCUGUUUUUUUUCAAGGUUGCCAGAAAAAUCUCUCGAUUAUCUACCAGAAUGUUAUUUGGCUUCUUUCCCAUAAGAGGACUGACUUCAUAGAGACUUCAAUGGUGCAUGGUUAUUCAACUAUGGCAUUGGCAUUCAUCUCCUUCAAGCUGGAGACCCCAAACCUAGUAAAUCUUUUAGUGGCUUACAAUUUGUAUUACAUGAUUCUGAUCAUACAUGGGUUGUAGAUUUCUAAAAAUUAAUGAUGCUAGCAUGAACUGAAAUAGAAUUCUCAGUCAUAUAUGGUUUGGGGUUAUAUUGAUGUUCGCUGGUUGGUAGUGAGAAGACUCGUAGUAUCUGAAAA